rnacentral:sRNA from 1 species
AUUCUGCCCAUGCGGGGAAGGAUGAGAAGCUUCGACCAAGGUUCGACUCGAGCGCCAGCGAGAAAGCGUUGCCGCAGGCAACGACCCGAAGGGCGAAGCGCGCAGCGCUGAGUAAUCCU